UAGGCGGGGAAAUGCGUAGAGAUCUGGAGGAAUACCGGUGGCGAAGGCGGCCCCCUGGACAAAGACUGACGCUCAGGUGCGAAAGCGUGGGGAGCAAACAGGAUUAGAUACCCUGGUAGUCCACGCCGUAAACGAUGUCGACUUGGAGGUUGUGCCCUUGAGGAGUGGCUUCCCGAGCUAACGCGUUAAGUCGACCGCCUGGGGAGUACGGCCGCAAGGUUAAAACUCAAAUGAAUUGACGGGGGCCCGCCCAAGCGGUGGAGCAUGUGGUUUAAUUCGAUGCAACGCGAAGAACCUUACCUACUCUUGACAUCCACGGAAUUUGGCAGAGAUGCCUUAGUGCCUUCGGGAACCGUGAGACAGGUGCUGCAUGGCUGUCGUCAGCUCGUGUUGUGAAAUGUUGGGUUAAGUCCCGCAACGAGCGCAACCCUUAUCCUUUGUUGCCAGCGAUUCGGUCGGGAACUCCAAGGAGACUGCCGGUGAUAAACCGGAGGAAGGUGGGGAUGACGUCCAGUCAUCAUGGCCCUUACGAGUUGGGCUACACACGUGCUACAAUGGUGCAUACCAAGAGAAGCCACCUCGCGAGGGCGAGCGGACCUCACAAAGUGCGUCGUAGUCCGGAUCGGAGUCUGCAACUCGACUCCGUGAAGUCGGAAU
rnacentral:rRNA from 1 species